rnacentral:rRNA from 1 species
UGCCCCCUAUGUUCUGGGCUACACACGUGCUACAAUGGCCGGUACAGACGGACGCAAAGCCGCGAGGUGGAGCAAAUCCUAAAAAGCCGGUCUCAGUUCGGAUUGCAGGCUGCAAUUCGCCUGCAUGAAGUCGGAAUCGCUAGUAAUCGCAGGUCAGCAUACUGCGGUGAAUACGUUCCCGGGCCUU